AAAGGGGUGCCGUGCUUUACGGCUGAGAUUUAUACCCUCCGAACCUGAUACGGUUAGCACCGGCGCAGGGAUUGUUU
rnacentral:ncRNA from 1 species